ensembl:lncRNA
UUUUCAGUUGUGCGUGUGAGAGGUUACAUUUUCAGUUGUGCGUGUGAGAGGUUACAUUUUCAGUUGUGCGUGUGAGAGGUUACAUUUUCAGUUGUGCGUGUGAGAGGUUACAUUUUCAGUUGUAUGUGUGAGAGGUUACAUUUUCAGUUGUAUGUGUGAGAGGUGUUCACUGUGGUAUAAGAGAGGUUCUCACUCAUGAGUAUGAGAGGUUUUCAGUUGUCAUUGUGUGAGGUUCCAUUUUCACUAGUGUACGUGAGGGGUGUUUAGUACUGAAUGUGAGUGUAUUUCAGUAGUGUUUGUGAAAGGCAAAAGGUCUUCAAUGGUGUGUAUG